rnacentral:lncRNA from 1 species
UUAUGGAGCAAAAGAGAAAAGUUUUUUAAAAAUGUAAUCUAAUUAAUCUGAGUGCAUUUGUAUGCCUAUUAAAAUUCACCUGUCCUGGAUUUGCCAUUUAUCAUGAUUACAAGGGAACAGCCAUGCUGAGAAAGGGGCUGCCUCUUCAUUUAAUAAGAAAUGAUGAUUUAUUAUCCGGGAUGCUUUUAGUAAUGGUUUAGAUCUAAUGGACAGGUCCGUGUGACAAACUCACCGUGCAUACUCUAAAACUAGAUAUGUCCCUUUACAUGGGGCACCUCCAAGUGACGCUCUGAGACAUGCUCAUGUGCUGUGGAUGUUCCAGCCCCAUGGAGCCCCACUGGGGAAAGGGAGCCCACCUUUCAGAUGGUUGUUCCCAGGUCUGUGAGUGCCUUCCUGCUGGGAUCUGUGCUGCCACUGAAGAAGAAAGACCACCCAUCAACAGACUGAGAAUUCAGAUACCAAUACCAAAUCCAGCAGGCUAGGAGUCCACUGUGCAGAAGAGUAAGGCCUGGGUGAACUCCUAAGACAAGCUCUUCCUAGAUUUUCUUGGUUUUUUAUUUGUUUCUUUGUGACACAGGGGAUUGAACCCAGGGCCUUCAACUGAGCUACAAACCCAGGCCGCUUUUUUCUUUCUUUUCCUUUUUUCCUUUUUUUAGAAGAUAAUGUCCCACUCAGUCACUUAGUUGUCCAGGCUGGGGUCAAACUUGUAAUCCUCCAGAGUGCUGGGAUUAGAGGCAUGUGUUACCAUGCCAGACUUUCAUGUUUCAGCUGAGAGAAAGAGAAUAAACAGUACCUGGCCAGCUCAGAACACCAAGUGAACCCAAUGAAGUCACAAUUAUACUUCCCAUGGGCAGAGUCUGUCUCAUCACAGCUCAACAUCCUAGAGACCCAGAAGUUCCUGCAGAAAGCGCACUGCACAGAAAAGCUUCCUGGAGAAGAAAGCACCACAAAUGAACCCCAAACAGUGAGUCACACCCGAGCACUGAUGUCAGGCCAGCUCCGGCUGUUAACUGAUGGCCCCUCAACACAGCGGCAGGCACAGCACAGGGAGGUGAGGUGACACUGGCAGCAUGGAUGGAGUCUUCUGCUUCAUCGCAACGAGCAGUCUGGAACCUUGGCCACAUUUGAAAAUCCAUCUCUUUGAACCAAUACAGACAGCUUAAUGAAGCAAUAUUUAUGGAACUGAUACCACGAGGGACGGUUGCUCCUUUUCUCUAUCUUCUAUUUUUAAUAUUUGAUCUGGCAAACGUAUUAUUAAAGGAAUAUUUCAAAUCUGAUUACUCUUCUGUUUGACUGUGUGUUUUAUUCAUGCAAGCUGAGUGUCAGGGGAAAUUACACCAACCAGUUUGGGAGCUUUAUU